CUGGGAAGAAGCAGUGUGUUCUGUCCAACUAUUGGAUAAGUACAGCAGCAUCAAGUUGACGGAACACAUUACACACACUAAGGCACGCAGAGAGUGCCAGUGAAUGCAGCGUAGCCCUGGAAUCCCUGAGAGCGUGGAGAGAGGAGUCCAUAUGAUCACUGAAGAGCUUGAGUCCUUCAAAGGAAAGAUCCUCGACUGUGGACUGUACUUCUCUUGGAAGACCUAAGGGCUGGAGCCAGGAAACUCUUCUCACGAUCACUGCCAUGAAUCUUAACACUCUGUCAGCAGCAUCUAGGGCAGCUUGGAGGGAGGUUUUUGUGACCAACUGCCCCCCUGCAAUGCUGGACUGAAACUGGCCUCUCUGAUCUUGUGGCACAUAUUCAGUUAAGUGUGUAAAUAAUGAAUACACGGUAAAUGCGUCAUUCACCAUCAAGGCCUGAUAAUUAGCAACAGAAAACUGAAGAGCAGCUGAUGAACAGCUCUUCUGCCCAGUAAGUCCAGACUCUUGGAUUCCCUGUCUAUUGGAGAGGGUCUAAACUGAGCUUGUGGCACCUUCCACUGGCUGCAUAAACCACUAUGGAGUUAUGGAUUGGGGGGAGGAGGGGAAGUGUUCCAUCCUCUUUGAUGGGAUGUAGUACUUUGUGUUAGAUCUCUUACAGGUGGGUGGAACUGUGGUUGGCGUUUGACACAGUGUACAUGUAGGGGACAGUAAUGACUCACUAAUGAGUAAAGCAACCUUCCCUUGGGGACACCGUCUCAAACCACAGGCAGUUGAGAAGGAACUCAGUGGUGGUGGGUUCGCACCUGUCUAUAUUCCCUAGUUCAGAGCAGAAGGUGUUGUUCUGCGCAGGACUGUGAGCACUGCUUUACAAUCUCCAAUCAAGAGCGUGCAGGCACAUGCACAUCCUACAGUGGAGUACCAAUAGGUACAUAUACUUGAAGAACUAGAGAUGAUCAUUCAGAAAUGUCAAAAGCAGAGGUUUUAUACAUUAGAAAUUUUACCUAGGUUAUAUACACUUGGGUACCAUUUCUACUAUAACUUCAUACAAAUAUAGCACAGAAUGUCUCUAGUUUUCUGCCUGCAUCUAACAAGCAGUCACAUCAUACAGAAGGCUGAAAUACAACAAAAUAGAUUUUUAGCAAAAAUACAAUUUCAUUUGCCCCAUGAGAUUUGCUAUUUGGUGUGGAUUUUUUAAAGGGACAUUCAAACGUAAGUUUGUAUAUUUACAAUAUGAUUUUAACAUGUCAGGUUGCUGAAACAAAAAAUUAUAAAUACCCACUACUUAUGCCAUUUGUGUACUUUCCAUUUUUCUCUCAGUGUGGACAAGUCAAUCCUGCAUUCAGGAUCUCAGUACUUCAAAACCUGGGUUGCAAACUUGGCAUGAAAUAUUUAUAAUUGUAGUGAAUACUGUUGUAAAA